AAGAGUGCGUAAUAGCUCACUAGUCUAGUUUUUUGGCGCCGCAAGUACAACGGGGCUAAGCUUAAUACCGAAUUUUUGGAUUUAAGAUUUAAUAAUUUUAAGUGGUAGACAAAUGUUGUAUAAGGGUUGAAGUUUGAACGAGAGUAUAAAUGGACUUUAUACAAGUAAGAAUUCCGGCGUAAGUAACGAAUGAAAGUGAGAAUCUUUCUAGCCGAUUGAUCAAGGUUUCCGGGGCUAGGUUCGUCCUCCUCGGGUUAGUCGAUCCUAAGGUGAGGCCGAAAGGCGUAGCCGAUGGACAACAGGUUAAUAUUCCUGUACUACCUUAGAUUGUCAACGGGCGGACAAAAGAGGUUAAAGUAAAAGGAUUAUUGGAUUUCCUUCUAAGUUUCGAAGCAAGUCGAGGMUGAAAAUCACCCCGACAUUAAUUGCAAGAAACGAAUGCUAUUUUUGGUAGGGAUAUCAGGAAGAAUUACUACCAAUCUCUUUUCGCGAAAAAACUCUAGACUUAAAUCUAAGGUAUUCGUACCGAAACCGAACACACGUGAUCAAGGAGAAUAUCCUAAGGCUAGCGAGCUAACUACAGUUAAGGAACUCUGCAAAUUAACUCUGUAACUUAGGGAGAAAGAGUGCCCCAGAAGGAAUCUGGGGCCACAGUAAAGAACGAGGGCGAACUGUUUAACAAAAACACAGCUAUAUGCAAAAUUCGAAUA
rnacentral:rRNA from 1 species